rnacentral:lncRNA from 1 species
CCUAUAGAGGUAAUAACACAACAAUAUCAUAAUCUCGUAUUCAAUUAAUCAAAACAACAACUUUCUCUUUUAACCUGCCUACUGGUAUCUAUGGGGGUGCAUAGAGAACCUUACUGUGAACGUUGCCUCAUACCAGACGAGAUAUUGAGGAUUGGUAUUUUGGCGCUCAUACCGGACGGGAUAUGGGGCUGACCCGUUUCACCCUCAUACCAGACGGGGUAUUAAGGGAUGAUAUUUUUGGCGCUCAUAUCGGAUGGGGUAUGGGGACGGCCGGUUAGUUAACAAUGUUGAAUAAGAGUUCAU